rnacentral:rRNA from 1 species
AUUGAACGCUGGCGGCAGGCCUAACACACGCAAGUCGAGCGGGGUUUUCGGACCUAGCGGCGGACGGGUGAGUAAUGCGUAGGAAGCUGCCCGAUAGAGGGGGAUACCAGUUGGAAACGACUGUUAAUACCGCAUAAUGUCUACGGACCAAAGUGUGGGACCUUCGGGCCACAUGCUAUCGGAUGCGCCUACGUGGGAUUAGCUAGUUGGUGAGGUAAUGGCUCACCAAGGCGACGAUCUCUAGCUGGUUUGAGAGGAUGAUCAGCCACACUGGAACUGAGACACGGUCCAGACUCAUACGGGAGGCAGCAGUGGGGAAUAUUGGACAAUGGGCGCAAGCCUGAUCCAGCCAUGCCGCGUGUGUGAAGAAGGCCUUCGGGUUGUAAAGCACUUUCAGCGAGGAGGAAGGGGUGUGUGUUAAUAGUACACACCUUUGACGUUACUCGCAGAAGAAGCACCGGCUAACUCUGUGCCAGCAGCCGCCGUAACAC